AACCCCUUUAAUAUGGCAGGAACCAGGGGCGUAGCUAAAGGCUCAUGGGCCCUGGUGCAAGAGUUCAGCUUGGGCCCCCUUUCCCUCAGUGCUUUGUGGCCAGGGGCAGGGAAGCACAUUGCCUUCAAACUGCCUGAGGCAGAAAUUGAAACAGCAUCCCCCAUGCCAA